rnacentral:tRNA from 7 species
GGAGAGGUGUCCGAGUCGGCCGAAGGAGCUCGCCUGCUAAGCGAGUAUACGGGCUUAAACCUGUAUCGAGAGUUCAAAUCUCUCCCUCUCCGCCA